rnacentral:rRNA from 1 species
AGAGUUUGAUCCUGGCUCAGAACGAACGCUGGCGGCGUGCUUAACACAUGCAAGUCGAACGCGAACGAGUUCUUCGGAACUUCAGUAGAGUGGCGCACGGGUGAGUAACGCGUAAGUAAUCUACCCUCGCAUUUGGGAUAACCCACCGAAAGGUGUGCUAAUACCGGAUACGUCUAUUUUAAUAUCUUUUUUAUAGAGAAAGGUGGCCUCUGAUUCAAGCUACUGUGCGGGGAGGAGCUUGCGUACCAUUAGCUAGUUGGUAGGGUAAUGGCCUACCAAGGCAACGAUGGUUAGCGGGUCUGAGAGGAUGAUCCGCCACACUGGAACUGAAACACGGACCAGACUCCUACGGGAGGCAGCAGUGAGGAAUAUUGCGCAAUGGGGGCAACCCUGACGCAGCGACGCCGCGUGGAUGAUGAAGGCCUUCGGGUUGUAAAAUCCUGUCAGAUGGGAAGAAGUGUAAUAUGGUUAAGAGCUGUAUUAUUUGACGGUACCAUCAAAGGGAGCACCGGCUAACUCCGUGCCAGCAGCCGCGGUAAUACGGAGGGUGCAAGCGUUGUUCGGAAUUACUGGGCGUAAAGCGCGCGUAGGCGGUUGUAUAAGUCAGAUGUGAAAGUCCAUGGCUCAACCAUGGAAGUGCAUUUGAAACUGUAUAACUUGAGUACUGGAGGGGGUGGUGGAAUUCCCGGUGUAGAGGUGAAAUUCGUAGAUAUCGGGAGGAAUACCGGUGGCGAAGGCGACCACCUGGCCAGAUACUGACGCUGAGGUGCGAAAGCGUGGGGAGCAAACAGGAUUAGAUACCCUGGUAGUCCACGCCGUAAACGAUGUGAACUAGGUGUUGGGAUGGUUAAUCGUCUCAUUGCCGGAGCUAACGCAUUAAGUUCACCGCCAGGGGAGUACGGUCGCAAGAUUAAAACUCAAAGGAAUUGACGGGGGCCCCC